GGCGAACGCUGGCGGCGUGCUUAACACAUGCAAGUCGAACGGUGAAGCGCCUUCCUUUUUGGUGGGUGUGGAUGAGUGGCGAACGGGUGAGUAACACGUGAGUAACCUGCCCCCUUCUUCUGGAUAACCGCAUGAAAGUGUGGCUAAUACGGGAUAUUCUGGGUCUGUCGCAUGAUGGGUCUGGGAAAGAUAUUGUUUCGGUGGGGGAUGGGCUCGCGGCCUAUCAGCUUGUUGGUGGGGUGAUGGCCUACCAAGGCGGUGACGGGUAGCCGGCCUGAGAGGGUGGACGGUCACACUGGGACUGAGACACGGCCCAGACUCCUACGGGAGGCAGCAGUGGGGAAUAUUGCACAAUGGGCGCAAGCCUGAUGCAGCGACGCCGCGUGAGGGAUGGAGGCCUGCGGGUUGUGAACCUCUUUCGCCAGUGAAGCAGGCCUGCCUCGUUUGUGGGUGGGUUGACGGUAGCUGGAGAAGAAGCGCCGGCUAACUACGUG
rnacentral:rRNA from 1 species